GUACUUGCUUUGGCAGCACAUACACUAAACCUGGAAUGAUACAGAGAUCAGUACGGCCCCUGUGCAAGAAUGACACAAAUUCGUGAAGUGUUCCAUAUUUUU
ensembl:snRNA U6 U6 spliceosomal RNA